AUGGAAACAUCAAACAAAUCGAAUCUUGAGACCCCACUAUGUUCAAACCAACAUACAAACCAUGAAUUGGAAGAUGAGACAUUUGAUCAAUGGUGUUGCAUUAGUGAAGAUAUUGUUGAGGAAGCUAAAAAGCAACUAUGGCUAGCAGGGCCUCUUAUUGGAGUGCUUCUUUGGGUAACUCCUUUGCCUCAGUCACUGGUUAUAGUGUUUUGUUAG